CAUGAAAUUAAAUGUAUGUCGCUCUGGAUAAGAGCGUCUGCUAAAUGACUAAAA
rfam:Salmo salar isolate Sally breed double haploid chromosome ssa15, whole genome shotgun sequence.